UACGUAGGGUGCAAGCGUUAAUCGGAAUUACUGGGCGUAAAGCGUGCGCAGGCGGUUUUGUAAGUCUGACGUGAAAUCCCCGGGCUCAACCUGGGAAUUGCGUUGGAGACUGCAAGGCUAGAAUCUGGCAGAGGGGGUAGAAUUCCACGUGUAGCAGUGAAAUGCGUAGAGAUGUGGAGGAACACCGAUGGCGAAGGCGGCCCCCUGGGUCAAGAUUGACGCUCAUGCACGAAAGCGUGGGGAGCAAACAGG
rnacentral:rRNA from 1 species